rnacentral:tRNA from 1 species
GAAGUUGUGGCUCAGUGGAGAGUGUGUGCCUAGCAUGCACAAGGUCCUGGGUUCAAUUUCUAGUACCUCCA